rnacentral:lncRNA from 1 species
UAGGUUAUGAGCUGAAAAAUUCCUUGACUUUCAAUUAUGAUAGUCGUGGGCUAUCUUAUUUGUUGGUUGUGUUCAUUCAGCUUCCUAUAUUUGUUAUUGGUACAGGUUUGGUCACUUGGUUGAUCUAUAUGCUUGGAAUCCACAUUGUAGAUACUUGGAUGGAAUUGGUCCUCCAGGUUCUGGUAUGUACAAAUGCAACACCAUUGAUAAGAAUUAUAUGCUUCUAUGACUGAAAAAAAAAAGCAGAACAAAUGGAUUAAAUUAUUAAAACACCAAGUGGAAGUAUCACAAAUGGUUCCUAAAAUUUUAAAAACUACUGUUUUGUAGUUGCACUAAAUAGGACCAUUGCUUGCAUGACUUCACUCUUGUUCACUAAGCACAUCUUCCUUGAUACUUAUACCUUUUAUUCAGAUGUUCAUGCAAUUCUUUUAGGUGUUUUGUACAUAAAGAGAAUUGCUUAUGUGGAACAUUUGUAUUCUUCUAUAUACAUUUUUUAUUGUCAUAUUGCUUGUCUUUUCCUAUUGAACAUUAUUUAGUUUGCUUACUUAUUAAUAUCCUUCAUAGUUUACUCACUUUGGCCAUAUAAAUAAUAAUAAUAUCUUGUUUUGAACCGUACACAAGGUGGUCCGUUAUUUUAUUCCUUUAGCUUAGCCAUGAAAAAUCAAGGUUCACGUUUGAUAUUAAUCUCUUCUGACUUUGCUCCUUAAUUUUUUUAUCAGUUUUUGUAAAAUAAUUUAUCUUUGUCCUACAAAUCCCAAUUUAAAAUUGAUGUAACUUUACAUAUGAAAGUGGAUCCCAAAAUGAUUAAGUAGUGAUUGGAUUUUGGCAUGUGUAUGAUGCGUUUUAAAUUACUUUAAGAUGGCUUCAUUCACAUUGGAAGAAAGGGAUGUGUCAAAAUUAAUUAAGACAUCUGUUAUUAGUAUACUACAGGACAAGUAGAGAGAUAAGUGCUUUUUAUGCUAACAUUGUUGGAGUACAAGUGUGAGGUGAAGUCCCACAUUGGGUAGAAGUAGAAAAGUUGAGUACCAUAUAAAUGAGAAGAAGACCCAUAAACCUGAGUUCCCUUAUGUGAUGACUCGUGGUCCACCGGUGUGAAUCUCCCUGGUGUUUACUCCCCUCAAAUCUCCCCAACAACUGGUAUCAGAGCCGAUAAGCAUCAUUUCCAAUUCGGCUACAAACCAAAACUAAAGAUAUUAUUUAUAAUGAGAUUCUUCUUAACAACUUUUUUAAUGUCCUUCUUAAUUUCCCUCUCCCCUUUUACAUAGAAAUAAAAACCAUGAAAUCUACUCGUGUGUUUCUCGUCGCCUUUGUACGUGUCCAGACUACUUUACCUUGAUUUUCUGCUUUCCCCCCCUUAAAUUAGUGCAAUAUCAAUAUUAUAUGAUAAAACUUGCUCUUGAGCUUUGAUAGGUACUAUGCAACCACAAAUAACCUCAAAUACUUUUCUCCAUUUUUGUUAUCCUGUUUAUAUCUUCUGUGUGACAUCUUUAUUAAUUUCCUCGUCAUUUUGUAGUAUUGAUCCCAAAUAUUUAAACUAAGAAACUGGUGGCAUGACAUCUCCCAAUUUUACUUCAAGUCAUAUUCCUCUUGCCUCUUACAAAAAUUGCAAUAAUAUACUUUGUUUUACUCCUACUUAAGCGAGAAUCCUUUGUUUUUAAAGUUUUCUUCAAAGCUCAAGUUUAAAGUUAACAACUUUCCUUAAUUCAAAACUAUAUCAUCCACAAAAAACAUGCAAUCAGGGAUAAUCUUUUGUAUGUCCCUAGUAAGCACACCCAAGACUAAAUUAAAGAAAUAAGGACUUAAGGUUGAGCCUUGGUGUACGCCUACCCCUGUCGAGAAGUUCUUAGUCUCGUCUCCUGGAGUUAUCACACUAGUAGUUUCCCUAUCAUGCCUGACUUAUAUAGUUCAGAUGUAAGUCACAGAAACACCUUUCUUUUCCAAAGUCUUUCUAUUUGUGACCUUGAACUCCCUUCUUAAGUGAUUUAAUGUUCCUCCUCCUUCUUGAAACAAGUGUUCAUAAUCCUAAAAUCGUAAGUAAUAGAGAAAUCAAGAAUAAACUGUCAUUCCUUAUUUACUUCUCUAAAACUAGAACCACCAUGGGCUUCUAUAAAUUGCCUUGUCUCACUACGAAUAUGUUCUUUUAGAUCCCUUCCUGAGAAAAUCUUUUCUUCUUGGGGAGUUCCUUGAACCAAUCCCACCAAAUUUUCCCAAUACUUUUCUUUAUAAGUGCUUGUAAUCCUACUUGUGAUGCUUAAGUACUGAUGAUGUUGGUGGUCUCCUAUGCAACCAGUAAUUUUAAGGCUAACAUUGUGUCCAAUUCAUCUUGCAUCCCCUAGACUAUUUCUAAUACUUGUCUGCAAUAAUACCACACCAUUCUUUUCUCUAAUUUAAAUCCUAUAGUACCUAACUCCUUGGUCUCUUGUAGGCACAUAAUGUUACUCCUCCUUUGAAUUAUGGAUCUGCCACCUUCAUGAACUUACCUGUCAAAGUCCCAGUAUUCUAAGUAGCAAAAAGCUUUGAACUUCUUUAUCCACAUCCAUUCAAGAAAUUGUGAGGACUCUUGACCAUUUAACACUAUAUCCGAGCACUUUAUGUCCUGACUCUAAAUCAUUUGACUUUGUAUUCAAGCCAUACAAUGCCUUACUUAAUCGAGUAACUUUUGAAUUUAAUCUCUUAUGAGAAUCAUGAAUUAAGUUUAUGUUGGUAAAUUCUGUACAAGGAAUUGUUAAGACACUUUGUUGGUCAAUUAAAGCUCGUUUUGUGGUCAAAUGUGAUAUGAUAAGAUAAAAUAUAAGAGCAGUAUAAGAACUUUAAAAGAUAAAAGUAGGAUAAGCUUUAAUACUAUUCAAUGUUACACCAUCAUAUAGACUAGAUAACGAUAGGUGGUGGUUGUGUCGGCAACGAUAACCGUGAUAAUAGCGGUGACAAUAAUAAUAACGAUGGUGGUGGCGAUGAUGGUAUUGAUGGUGGUGAUAAUGGUGGCAAUGGCGAUAGCGGCGACAAUGAAGGCAACAACAAUGACGGUGGUGGUGGCGGCGACGAUGGUGGCGACAAUGGUAGGAGUGACAACGCCAGUGAUGGUGGUGUGAUGGUUGUCAUGGUGGAGAAGCGAUGAUGGUGGUGAAGAUGGUGAUGAUGGUGGUGGCGAUGAUGACAGUGAUAGUGAUGGGGUUGGUGAGGGCAACUAUCCUAUUCUGUUGCUCUCUAACCAAUUCACCCCCUCAGGAUAAGAAAUACACUGCAUCAUUAAGAUAGAGUAGGAAAUAGGGUAAGGAAAUCAUAUCCUACUAGUGCACCAAACAAUUUAUUACAACAGCCUAAGAUAGUUAUCCUAUCCUAUUAUACCAUAUUCUAACUACCAAACAACAAAAUUUCCAUUGCUUCAUAAGUUUUGAAUAGAAUGACAAUGCAUCUCUUUUUUAAAGAGUUAGAAAUCUGUAAGGAAAGACAUUUUCCCCAAGGCAAUUAAUUUUUUCUUUUAUGUAUUAUGACUUGCCGUGUUGUGGGUUAUAUAUAAUAUUGUUUUCAACCCCUUCAUUUUGUUGAUACUUGAUCACUUCUAAGUUAUAUUAUAGACUGACCCUUUUUCUGUUGUCAGCUAAUGAUUCAAGUGCGCAGAAUGACUGGAAAGGUGCUUGGUGGCAUAGCAGCUUCACAGUUCACUCAGGUGUCUGAUUCAUUUAUUUAUAGAUCAAAAAAUAAUAUGUCAUAUCAAUUAACUGUAGUUGGAGGCUGAAUCCAGACUGAAAUUUUGGUUGGUAGUGACAGGAAUCUCAAAACAAUAUUUUCUGAGCAGUAGUUAAAAUGUGUUUCCUUAUAUAUCUAUAUACUACUUAUGAAGUGAAUGGUUCGUAUAUGAGAUCAAAGCAUGCCUUGUACUAAGCUUCAUUUAUAAAUUUUGUUUUAAGAUAUGUCAACAUGACUUCAAAAUUUUUCAUAUAUGUUAGUGCCAGUUGCUUUCAAUUAUAUAUAAAUGGUGCCAUCUUGGAGGGUUAAUCCCCCACUAAGUGCCAAAAGUUCAGUGAUCCAUUAAAGGACAACCCGCUUUGUUUCUUAUGGCUUCUUGCCUUACAAUUUUUUUUUAAGAGUAAUUCAUUUUUCAUCCUCCAUAGUUUCAAGCCUUGUCACUUUAGUCUCUCAAUUAUUCAAGGUAUCAUCAAAUCGAUCCUUCUUUGAUGAUAUUUUGCUUGAUCAAGAGACUAAAUUGAUGAUAUUUUGUAUUGUUUAGGGACUAAUUGAUGUUUGAAAUAUUUGGAGUGUCAAAGUGAUGACUCUUAGCACUGUUGAGGGAUUAAUUUGAUGAUAAAAAUCUUGAGGAUCAAAUUGACGACACUUAUUUGCUUGGAGGACAAAAGUAGGGAUUUACUCUAUUUUUUUAUGUUAAAGCAUAUUUUGGAUUCUAUAUUUCUAGUGCAUGAGUGUUGUCAAAUACUGAGUCAUUGACUCAAUUAGGUGCGGAGUCACCGUUUCAAAAAGUAAUUGAUUUACUGGUUGAACCAUAUGUAUGUGUAAUUAAUCUGAUAAUAGGAACAUUAUAACUAACAUGGAGUUCUGGUGAAAUGGUUUAUGUUAAUUGAGCUGUUAAUUAUUAGGUUGUAGGUUAAAAUUAUUAGCUCAUAGAUUCAAAUUUUGUCUGGAACUUUACACUAAAUGUUUUACAAAACCAGUAAAAAUCAUUAACUUCAUACUAGUUCAUACUGGUUGCAACUUGCAACCUUGUGUAUGCAAUAUGAACAUCUGCCUCAAAUACAGUACCUUAAAUUUGAUCUCUCUGCUUUGUUUUGCACUGUCAUUUAGUUAGUUUGCAUUUUUAUUUUCUCAUAUUGGUACUCACAUGCUUCUCUGUAACAGGAUUCGUAGAGGAUGAGAGUCCAUAUGCAGAUAAUGGAAAAAAGGGCACAUACUUUUUUGAAUUCUCGAGGUCUUUGAGGACUAUGGAUCAUCUUCAACAGGUUGGAACUUAGAAAGUAAUUUGAUAUUCAUAAGUUUUAUAGGCUAAGAGUUUGCAUUGAUUUUUUCAGAUUUUUUUCCCAAUUAGCUGAAUUUUUUGUUCACAAGUUCUUUUUCGAUUAAUUUUUGGGAUCAUUUGUAAAUCUAAUGGAUUGUGGAUGAAAAAACAUAUGAAAUUAUUUAUCAAUUUUAAUCAAUGUUGGCGUAGAGUACCCCAAGUCAUGUGAUAAACAUUCCUUUUUAACUAGGUCUCUGUGUUGUUUGUUGUUGAAACAAGUUUGACUUUUGAACUUGUACUGGAUUGUUUGUAUUACCUUGUUUCCCAAUGCAAACUUGCCUUCUGAAUGUAUAUUUCUUAACCAUGGCCAAAAGCUUAAAACAAACAAGAUUGAGAUCACUAACUCUUUUUUCUUGUAUUUUGUUUGGGGUGGGGGCAUGGAUGAAAAAGAUCUUUUCAAAUAUAAUAAAUGUGAUUGUAGGGAUCUUCUGAAUCACGUGGUUUUUGUUUUAACAUGUGGUUAUUGUGUUUAUCUUUGAGUUUCUUCCUAUCCAGGGACUCAUCUUGUAGCUUGAAACUAAAUAUAUUUUUGUUUUAGUAGCAUUGUACCAAAUAGUAAAUAUAUUCCUGAAUAUCAUUUAUAAGAUAACAAGCAAGUAAAAUGAUGUAAAAUAAUACCUUGCAGGACGUGCAAUUUAACAUUGGUGGAUCCAGUAAGAUGUCUGUUGCAUUCUGGUAUCCAGUAGAUGGUCAACCUUGGCAUGGUUCUGGGCACUACUCUGUUUACUGUGAUUGGGUUCCCAUUGACAUAUCUGUUGGUAAA